GCGAUACGCUACAUCUCCACAAACUCACAAAUUCAGAUGAUGAACCGGAUGUUCAGGAAACACAGCACAAGCCACGAUGCCGAGUGGUUAGUCACAUGGCCCGUCGUGAGCCAAAGGACAAGAAAGGGAAGAACAGAAAGGCACUGGGGAUGCUGUGUGACUUUACAGACUGUUCAACAGCUGAAGACACAGACACGUCAACAGGAGCACUUGGAGAAGGGAAGCGAGACACGCACACACACCGACAGACGCGUGGCACAGGGAUUUCAUGUUGGGAGCAUGCAGGU
rnacentral:lncRNA from 1 species